AUCUAAGUACCCCGAGGAAAAGAAAUCAACCGAGAUUCCCCCAGUAGCGGCGAGCGAACGGGGAGGAGCCCAGAGCCUGAAUCAGCAUGUGUGUUAGUGGAAGCGUCUGGAAAGGCGCGCGAUACAGGGUGACAGCCCCGUACACAAAAGCGCAUGUGCUGUGAGCUCGAUGAGUAGGGCGGGACACGUGGUAUCCUGUCUGAAUAUGGGGGGACCAUCCUCCAAGGCUAAAUACUCCUGACUGACCGAUAGUGAACCAGUACCGUGAGGGAAAGGCGAAAAGAACCCCGGCGAGGGGAGUGAAAAAGAACCUGAAACCGUGUACGUACAAGCAGUGGGAGCACAGGUUUACCUGUGUGACUG
rnacentral:rRNA from 1 species